rnacentral:misc_RNA from 1 species
AAAAUAUUCUGAUAGACUGGAUAUAAAAU